rnacentral:rRNA from 1 species
AGUGAACGCUGGCGGUAGGCCUAACACAUGCAAGUCGAACGGCAGCACAGUAAGAGCUUGCUCUUACGGGUGGCGAGUGGCGGACGGGUGAGGAAUACAUCGGAAUCUACUUUUUCGUGGGGGAUAACGUAGGGAAACUUACGCUAAUACCGCAUACGACCUACGGGUGAAAGCAGGGGAUCUUCGGACCUUGCGCGAUUGAAUGAGCCGAUGUCGGAUUAGCUAGUUGGCGGGGUAAAGGCCCACCAAGGCGACGAUCCGUAGCUGGUCUGAGAGGAUGAUCAGCCACACUGGAACUGAGACACGGUCCAGACUCCUACGGGAGGCAGCAGUGGGGAAUAUUGGACAAUAGGCGCAAGCCUGAUCCAGCCAUACCGCGUGGGUGAAGAAGGCCUUCGGGUUGUAAAGCCCUUUUGUUGGGAAAGAAAAGCAGCAGGUUAAUACCCCGCUGUUCUGACGGUACCCGAAGAAUAAGCACCGGCUAACUUCGUG